rnacentral:misc_RNA from 1 species
GAUGAAGAACGUAGCGAAAUGCGAUACGUAAUGUGAAUUGCAGAAUUCAGUGAAUCAUCGAGUCUUUGAACGCACAUUGCGCCCCCUGGUAUUCCGGGGGGCAUGCCUGUCCGAGCGUCAUUGCUGCCCUCAAGCACGGCUUGUGUGUUGGGCCUCCGUCCUCCUCCCGGGGGACGGGCCCGAAAGGCAGCGGCGGCACCGCGUCCGGUCCUCGGGCGUAUGGGGCUUCGUCACCCGCUCUUGUAGGCCCGGCCGGCGCUUGCCGACACAUCAAUCUUUUUUCCAGGUUGACCUCGGAUCAGGUAGGGAUACCCGCUGAACUUAAGCAUAUCAAUAAGCGGAGGA